UCUAAAUAGGUGGAUUGUCGGUUCAUCACAGAUCCCUCUCUUCUCUUCAUAAGUGCAGCUAAAAUUCUAGCAGCAGAAGGAAACAAAAAACUAGGUAUUUCAUCAGUUGGUAGUGGUUCAGUUCGGACUCUACUGAUAAGUGGUGGAGGUGUUCGGAGGAAAAAUCAGAUCCCUAAUAAUUGUACUGAAAUAGUUUCGAAAUCUCAUUGUUUACAGAACACAAGAUGUAAGUGGUGCCGAAGUGAUGUUGUUGAUGAUAUGUGUUUCAGCUCUUUAGAGUCAUGGAGAUUGCCUCAACAGGUCUUCUUCUGUGACCAAUAAUUCUCUCUUUCUCUCUUAAAUAUGUGUAUUAGUUAUCUUGAAUUAUAUGAGUUAUCUUGUUGUUGUGAUAAUUAUAUAUCCAUUUUGUAAAAAACCUAAUCAAAUUGAUAAUUUUAGAUUCAUGAUUUUGCCCUAA